UACAGAGGUCUCAAGCGUUGUUCGGAUUCAUUGGGCGUAAAGGGUGCGUAGGUGGCGCGCUAAGUCAGGUGUGAAAUUUCGGAGCUUAACUCCGAAACUGCAUUUGAUACUGGCGUGCUUGAGGACUGGAGAGGAGACUGGAAUUUACGGUGUAGCAGUGAAAUGCGUAGAGAUCGUAAGGAAGACCAGUGGCGAAGGCGGGUCUCUGGGCCGAUACUGACGCUGGAGGAGCGAAAGCCGUGGGGAGCGAACAGG
rnacentral:rRNA from 1 species